GUCACACAUGUGCAAGUCUCAAGUAAGUCUUAAGUCUUACCUUCAAGUCUCAAGUAAGUCCCAAGUAUUUUUUUCUUGGGCAAGUCAAUCCAAGUCAAGUCCGGUAGUAAGUCAAGUCAAGUCCAAGUCAAGUCACCUUAAUAUUGUUAUUUUACCUGCAGAAUCUGAUCUUAAUAAAGUUAAAAGACAAGAUAUAAGUAACUGUCAGUAAAUUAAAAUAAUUUGGAUUUGCAUUGUAAAUACUCAUGUUCAGUAAAAUACAUCAUGGAAUCAAACAAAA